rnacentral:misc_RNA from 1 species
AACGCACCUUGCGCCCUUUGGCUAUUCUGAAGGGCAUGCCUGUUUGAGUAUCAUGAACACCUCAACUCUCAUGGUUCGCCGUGAUGAGCUUGGACUUUGGGGGUCUUGCUGGCCUAUGGUCGGCUCCUCUCAAAUGGAUCAGCUUGCCAGUGUUUGGUGGCAUCACGGGUGUGAUAACUAUCUACGCUUGUGGUUUCCCACCAGGUAACCUUCAGCAAUGGAGGUUCGCUGGGGCUCAUAGAUGUCCCUCCGCAGCGAGGACAACUUUUGAACGUUUGAUCUCAAAUCAGGUAGGACUACCCGCUGAACUUAA